rnacentral:rRNA from 1 species
UACGUAGGGGGCAAGCGUUGUCCGGAAUUAUUGGGCGUAAAGCGCGCGCAGGCGGUGCGUUAAGUCGGAUGUGAAAGGCCACGGCUCAACCGUAGAGCUGCAUUCGAAACUGGCGGCCUUGAGUGCAGGAGAGGGGAGGGGAAUUCCCGGUGUAGCGGUGGAAUGCGUAGAGAUCGGGAGGAACACCAGUGGCGAAGGCGGCUCUCUGGCCUGUAACUGACGCUGAUGCGCGAAAGCGUGGGGAGCAAACAGG